AACGGCAGAGAGUGCUUGCACACUUUGGACGUCGACCGGCGCACGGGUGAGUAACGCGUAUCCAACCUGCCCUUUACUUGGGGAUAACCCGUUGAAAGACGGACUAAUACCCAAUGAUAUUCAUUGAUGACAUCUGAUUUGAAUUAAAGAUUUAUCGGUAUAGGAUGGGGAUGCGUCUGAUUAGCUUGUUGGUGAGGUAACGGCUCACCAAGGCUACGAUCAGUAGGGGUUCUGAGAGGAAGGUCCCCCACAUUGGAACUGAGACACGGUCCAAACUCCUACGGGAGGCAGCAGUGAGGAAUAUUGGUCAAUGGACGAGAGUCUGAACCAGCCAAGUAGCGUGCAGGAUGACGGCCCUAUGGGUUGUAAACUGCUUUUGUUUGGGAAUAAUCGACAUUACGUGUAAUGUUUUGCAUGUACCAUUCGAAUAAGGACCGGCUAAUUCCGUGCCAGCAGCCGCGGUAAUACGGAAGGUCCAGGCGUUAUCCGGAUUUAUUGGGUUUAAAGGGAGUGUAGGCGGUUGGUUAAGCGUGUUGUGAAAUGUAGAUGCUCAACAUCUGACUUGCAGCGCGAACUGGCUGACUUGAGUACACACAACGUAGGCGGAAUUCAUGGUGUAGCGGUGAAAUGCUUAGAUAUCAUGAAGAA
rnacentral:rRNA from 1 species